AGCAACGUUUCCGAGACCAGUUAUUUUUAUCUCCAUCCCUUCCAAUGGCACACGAAUGACCUCUCUCUAUCACCCCCGCGCGUUGGUAGAGUCCAGAUCAGAACAUCAUGGCGAUUGAUGUUUCUCCCGAGGUGCUUGGCGCGUUGUCCUCCCUCGUGGCCUUUGCGGUGCUGAUGCUGAUCUUUUUCGUCUACCUCAGCAACAAGCUGUCAGCGCAGAGUGCCUCCAGCCUCCCUGUUCUGGACAGCCCCACAGGGGACCAACAAGGUGCCCGCACACACUCCUCUCCACUCCACUGGUGGUGGCACUGAGGGCCACGCCCACUCAGAAACAGGGAGGGGCCUACGCUCGACUAAGUGGGACCUUAUGAUUUCAGGAUGACUAUUGUUUCCUUUUUAUUUGAUUUGUGUAUUUCAAUUGAAAUACACUCUAAAGCAAUCGCAUUAUUUACGGUAAAUCACUAAAAUGUUUCAAAUGUG
ensembl:lncRNA